GAUGAACGCUCGCGGCAGGCCUAAUACAUGCAAGUCGGACGGGAUUCAGGAGCUUGCUUCUGAUGAGAGUGGCGCACGGGUGCGUAGCACGUAUGUAACCUACCUUUAUCAGGGGGAUAGCCUCUCGAAAGAGAGAUUAAGCCCGCAUAAAAUCACAGCACAGCAUUGUGUAAUGAUCAAAUAUUUAUAGGAUAAAGAUGGGCAUGCGGAACAUUAGCUAGAUGGCGGGGUAACGGCCCACCAUGGCGACGAUGUUUAGGGGAUCUGAGAGGAUGGCCCCCCACACUGGUACUGAGACACGGACCAGACUCCUACGGGAGGCAGCAGUAAGGAAUAUUGGUCAAUGGGCGGAAGCCUGAACCAGCCAUGCCGCGUGCAGGAAGACGGCCCUACGGGUUGUAAACUGCUUUUAUACGGGAAUAAACCCAGAUACGUGUAUCUGGCUGAAUGUACUGUAAGAAUAAGGAUCGGCUAACUCCGUG
rnacentral:rRNA from 1 species